AGAUAAAAAUAGAAAGGACAUUAUUUGUUUCUUGAUAUGUUUUAUUUCAUAGUGGCACAAUUUCAUUAUGCCAGGCGGGGAGUGUGCUGCCAUCCUGUUAGAAGGUAACAGAUUAUUUUAUUACAAUGGUUAAAUUGGAUUUUCAUUGUGUUCAAUGGUGUUAUUUGCCCCCUAGUGGCGCUUUCUGGUACUUAGAAAGACGACGCAAACAGGAAGUACAGAAUUAGUUUUGCACGCAAAGAAGCAGCUACAAACAACGCUACGGUGCAGGUCUUUCGGUUAUUUCUUGUCACGCUUCAGCCUUGGAAAUAUUUGUUUUUUCACAACAUAAACGUUUUCAAUAUAUUCAUUCAAG